GGAGAGGUGCCGGAGCGGUUGAACGGGGCGGUCUCGAAAACCGUUAGGCGGGUUUUCCGUCUCGGGGGUUCGAAUCCCCCCCUCUCCGCCA
rnacentral:tRNA from 1 species